GCGAGAGUGGUGAAAUUGGUAGACACGCCAGACUUAGGAUCUGGUGCCGCAGGCGUAAGGGUUCAAGUCCCUUCUCUCGCA
rnacentral:tRNA from 5 species